ACUUUAUUGGACUGGGACAGGUUACAGCACUUUGUCAGGCAUUAAAUUGCCUUUUUGCUAACCCUGCUCCUUAUCUGACAUGUAUGAUCAAUGUACAGUACACUGUAACUGAUUGAUUGAUUAUUGAUAUUGAAAUAAACUUAACUAUCUUGUGGAAAAAUCA
rnacentral:lncRNA from 1 species